rnacentral:rRNA from 1 species
AUUGAACGCUGGCGGCAGGCCUAACACAUGCAAGUCGAACGGUAACAGGAAACAGCUUGCUGUUUCGCUGACGAGUGGCGGACGGGUGAGUAAUGUCUGGGAAACUGCCUGAUGGAGGGGGAUAACUACUGGAAACGGUAGCUAAUACCGCAUAACGUCGCAAGACCAAAGAGGGGGACCCUCGGGCCUCUUGCCAUCGGAUGUGCCCAGAUGGGAUCAGCUUGUUGGUGGGGUAACGGCUCACCAAGGCGACGAUCCCUAGCUGGUCUGAGAGGAUGACCAGCCACACUGGAACUGCGACACGGUCCAGACUCCUACGGGGGGCAGCAGUGGGGAAUAUUGCACAAUGGGCGCAAACCUGAUGCAGCCAUGCCGCGUGUAUGAAGAAGGCCUUCGGGUUGUAAAGUACUUUCAGCGGGGAGGAAGGGAGUAAAGUUAAUACCUUUGCUCAUUGACGUUACCCGCAGAAGAAGCACCGGCUAACUCCGUG